rnacentral:rRNA from 1 species
UGGGGAAUCUUCCGCAAUGGACGAAAGUCUGACGGAGCAACGCCGCGUGAGUGAAGACGGCCUUCGGGUUGUAAAGCUCUGUUAUUCGGGAAGAACGAUUCGUUUGUGAACAAUGAACGGAAGUGACGGUACCGAAAGAGAAAGCCACGGCUAACUACGUGCCAGCAGCCGCGGUAAUACGUAGGUGGCAAGCGUUGUCCGGAAUUAUUGGGCGUAAAGAGCGCGUAGGCGGUAUGGUAAGUCUGUCUUAGAAGUGCGGGGCUUAACCCCGUGAGGGGACAGAGACUGUCAUACUGGAGUCUCGGAGAGGAAAGCGUAAUUCCUAGUGUAGCGGUGAAAUGCGUAGAGAUUAGGAAGAACACCGGUGGCGAAGGCGGCUUUCUGGACGAGCACUGACGCUGAGGCGCGAAAGCGUGGGGAGCGAACAGG